AUUGAACGCUGGCGGCAUGCCUUACACAUGCAAGUCGAACGGCAGCGGGGACUUCGGUCCGCCGGCGAGUGGCGAACGGGUGAGUAAUGUAUCGGAACGUACCUUUCAGUGGGGGAUAACGUAGCGAAAGUUACGCUAAUACCGCAUAUUCUCUGAGGAGGAAAGCAGGGGACCUUCGGGCCUUGUGCUGAUGGAGCGGCCGAUAUCAGAUUAGCUAGUUGGUGAGGUAAAGGCUCACCAAGGCGACGAUCUGUAGCGGGUCUGAGAGGAUGAUCCGCCACACUGGGACUGCGACACGGCCCAGACUCCUACGGGAGGCAGCAGUGGGGAAUUUUGGACAAUGGGCGCAAGCCUGAUCCAGCCAUGCCGCGUGAGUGAAGAAGGCCUUCGGGUUGUAAAGCUCUUUCGGACGGGAAGAAAUUGGUGGGGCUAAUAUCCCCAUCGGAUGACGGUACCGUAAUAAGAAGCACCGGCUAACUACGUGCCAGCAGCCGCAGUAAGAC
rnacentral:rRNA from 1 species